UCUAAUACCGGAUAUGACCUGGGACCGCAUGGUCCUGGGUGUAAAGCUCCGGCGGUGCAGGAUGRGCCCGCGGCCUAUCAGCUUGUUGGUGGGGUAAUGGCCUACCAAGGCGACGACGGG
rnacentral:rRNA from 1 species